UACAGAGGGGGCCAGCGUUAUUCGGAAUUAUUGGGCGUAAAGAGCGCGUAGGCGGUCCGGUAAGUCAGCUGUGAAAGUCAAGGGCUCAACCCUUGAAAGCCGGUUGAUACUGUCGGGCUAGAGUCCGGAAGAGGCGAGUGGAAUUCCCGGUGUAGCGGUGAAAUGCGCAGAUAUCAGGAAGAACACCCGUGGCGAAAGCGGCUCUCUGGAACGGUACUGACGCUGAGACGCGAAAGCGUGGGGAGCGAACAGG
rnacentral:rRNA from 1 species